GACGAACGCUGGCGGCGUGCCUAAUACAUGCAAGUAGAACGCUGAAGGAGGAGCUUGCUUCUCUGGAUGAGUUGCGAACGGGUGAGUAACGCGUAGGUAACCUGCCUGGUAGCGGGGGAUAACUAUUGGAAACGAUAGCUAAUACCGCAUAACAGUAGAUAUCGCAUGAUAUCUACUUGAAAGGUGCAAUUGCAUCACUACCAGAUGGACCUGCGUUGUAUUAGCUAGUUGGUGAGGUAACGGCUCACCAAGGCGACGAUACAUAGCCGACCUGAGAGGGUGAUCGGCCACACUGGGACUGAGACACGGCCCAGACUCCUACGGGAGGCAGCAGUAGGGAAUCUUCGGCAAUGGACGGAAGUCUGACCGAGCAACGCCGCGUGAGGGAAGAAGGGUUUCGGAUCGUAAAGCUCUGUUGUAAGAGAAGAACGAGUGUGAGAGUGGAAAGUUCACACUGUGACGGUAGCUUACCAGAAAGGGACGGCUAACUACGUG
rnacentral:rRNA from 1 species